rnacentral:lncRNA from 1 species
AGACAACUGUGAUUUUGUGUUUACAGGUGCUGGAGGCAAUUAGACAGCUCUGGUUUUCUCAGAAGGUGGAGUUUCAAGAAGCUGGAUGUUUCAAUACUCAAAAUAUCCAAACAAUGUGAAAUCCUAGCCAAUAUUGGUGCGAUGAGUCACAAAUCAAUAUAAACUGAGGAAGUCCAGGAAAGAGCUUAAGAGCAACAUGUACCAGCUCCUUGAAAGCAAAUGUCUGUUGUCCCACACAGGCCGCAGAAGGCUCGGCCUUUGAUUGCAAUUAAACUGAAGACACUCUUCCUACAAACCUCAGAUUGUGAUUGCUGCUGUGAUAUGCAAAGGGAAAUGUUUUUCCCAUAUGACUGUGGUCAGAAGCUGAUUGUUAUUCUGUGAAGCAGAAUCUCCCUUUUUUUUUUUUUUUCUUUGUCUUGCUUCAGGAUCUCUUAAUGUCUGUUUGUAUUACAUCAGUUAUCUUUCUCAACUGUAGCACUAAAGCCUGGAUGGAAAUGCAAGUCAUUGACUUGCAAGACCCUUCUACAAUGUAAAACAUACUCUGUCUAUGCUUAUCUGUAAUAUCUCCUUUGUUACAUGGUCAUGCAAUUUGGUCUUUCAGGUAGCAUCCUGUUCAGCAGCUCUCCUUUAUGAAUUUGAGGAACAUACUGAGCACCUAAAGAAUCCAAGGCUAGCUUGUAUAGGCUAAACAACAAACAAAUGGGAGCUGGAGCUCAAAGAAGGAAGGAGGCAUCCAGGAGAAGACACAAUGAAGUAUGCCUAGAGAGACAGACAAGAAAUUGCGAUAGAAGAACCAGAUAUUUCCACUCCUACUUGCUGCUUCCUAGCUAUCCUCCAACACCACAUCUUGCAAGGAGGGUGCUGCUCCGUGUGAACUGAGGCUGUGUCUACACUAACUGGCUUGUCAUUGCUGCUUACUGGAGGCAUCUGAACACACCAUUAUGUCAUCUUGAAAACCUGCCAAAGAUCCUAAGUGCAGACCAGCAGUUGCAAAUUUAGCCUGGAGUAGGGCUCUUCCUUUGGUGGGACAAAAGGAGCCAGAAGAGGCUUGAGCACCAAAGCCAGUCCU